rnacentral:tRNA from 1 species
GUCCGAGCGGGCCGGGGCGCCGGUCUUGAUCUGGCCGCAGUUCACCGCGACGGCGAGGUCGGCGAUCGUGACGUCCUCGGUCUC